CGCUCCUUGGAAAUGUGACAUAAGGAGUCCUGCCUGCCCAGUGACUAGAGGUUAAACGGCCGCGGUAUCUUGACCGUGCGAAGGUAGCAUAAUCAUUUGUCUCCUAAAUAGAGACUAGUAUGAAUGGCAAGACGGAACAAAACUGUCUCUUCUCCACAACCCCGAAUUUCACUUCCCCGUGAAGAGGCGAGGAUAAGCUCGCUAGACGAGAAGACCCUGUCGAGCUUUAGCGGCAAUCCAAAUUAUUAACCCACUUGUACUGGCCUAAUUUAUAACUUUACCCAGCAAACAAAUUUUACUAACUUUGGAGAAGCUUUGGUUGGGGCAACCGCGGAGAAAAGUAACCCUCCGCUAAUGAAUUUAACUUUAACAAGAGCUACAACUCUAAAACCACAAAUGACAUUUAAAUGAUCCACUAAGGUGAUCAAAGGAACAAGUUACCGCAGGGAUAACAGCGUUAUCUUUUCUGAGAGUUCACAUUGACGAAAAGGUUUGCGACCUCGAUGUUGGAUCGGGACAUCCUAAGGGUGCAGAAGCUUUUAAGGGUUGGUCUGUUCGACCAUUAAAGUCCUACG
rnacentral:rRNA from 1 species